GGUUGAUCCUGCCAGUAGCAUACGCUUGUCUCAAAGAUUAAGCCAUGCAUGUCUAAGUAUAAGCAAAUUUAUACGUGAAACUGCGAAUGGCUCAUUAUAUCAGUUAUAGUUUCUUUGAUGGUCCUUGCUACUUGGAUAACCGUAGUAACUCUAGAGCUAAUACAUGCAUCAAUCCCCGACUUCCUGGAAGGGGUGUACUUAUUAGAUGGAAACCAAUGCGGGGCAACCCGGAUUCUGGUGAUUCAUAAUAAUUAUCGGAUCGAUCGUAUGAUCGAUGCAUCAUUCAAGUUU
rnacentral:rRNA from 1 species